ensembl:lncRNA TTN-AS1 TTN antisense RNA 1
AGAGGCUGUGCCUUCCACAAAUGCUAUCCUGUAUCUGUCAGAAGCAGCUAUUUCUUUGCCAUCCUUAAACCAGGACACCCUCAUGGGGAGGGAGCCUGCAAUUUUGCAGUCCAGUCUGCAGAUGUUUGGCUUCCAGCUUCAUUUUCAGCCAGGCACGUGUAUUUGCCUCCAAAACUAAUCUGAACAUCAGGGAUUAUCAAGACUGCAACACCAUUGGAAAAGCUCAUUUUGAUUUUUCCGUCUUCUCUGAUGACCUCUUGACCUUUCAUCCAUGUGACAGAAAUGGGCUCUGACCCUCUCACAGCAGCUUGCAGGCUAAUUUCAAAUGGUCCAGUGCCUGAGACUUCACACUGAAGUAGAGCAUUUGUUCCUCUCACUAUGUCUGCAGGCUCAAGAGUUUUGAUGAAAGAAGGAGGUUCUACAAAAGCAUGAAAGCAUUGUGUGGACCUUCUUAUUGAUAGCGGACUGCACAGGCUCUAAUUCUUUAAUGAAAUGUGGCUUAUCAAUGAUGAUCAACUCUGCUUGGCAGAUGUCUGCUCCAAACUUGUUGGAAGCCUUACAAGAAUAAACUCCUCUAUCUUGAAUGGCUCUGCAGUACCUACCUACCAUGUUACUGUCUUGGUUGUUGGUCUCUCCAGUUGGUAAUACAAGCAUUUCCCACACAUGUACAGAAAGCAAAAAGGACAACAAUAUGAAAUGAAGUGACAACAUCUGUGCCAAUGUAUGGCAUUUACCUGUCACAGUUAGUGUGGCUGUACAGCUGACACUGCCAUACUCAUUGGAAGCUUUGCAUGUAUACUCGCCGCAGUCAACCACCUGGGUUCUCAGGAUUUCAAGGCUGGAGAUAUACUUUGAAGAUCGAAUAGAACACUUGUCACUCUCAUAAAUUUCUCGGCCAGCUUUAAACCACUGGAACCGGACAUUGGGAGCACUUUGGAUCUCACAGCAUAUAAGCAUUAGAAGACAGGACUCAAGUGUCUGCUGGCUGUAAAAAUACUGGAGAAACUCAUCUAUAGCAUGCAGAAUACAUAUUCAGCUUCUUCCUUUGGUGAACUGAAUGAGGCACCAGGAUACACAUGAACUGCCACUGGACAUGAACUGCACACAAUAAAAACCCGGCAUUGAAAACGGGCUGGCUGCCCUUCAGAAGUGACAGUGUCCUGAAGCGGGGUGAUGAUGGCAGGUGGAUAAACAGGCAUUUCCUGAUCAGGAGACACAACUUCUGGAACUAAAGAAAGAAACCACAAGAUUUGUCAUGAUUAAGUCACCAUAGAGACCUCACAGAAGGGAGCAUGUAGGUUUAUCUUAAUUUAUUUCACUGCAGAGUGCUUUCAAAGUUGGGUAGCAAUCUACUUUUAUGAGCUCCAAAUUGUAUUUUUAAAUGCACUGGGAAAGGACAAAAGCCUGCUUCUUAGGUUUUAUUUUCAGCUGGAAGUAGCGAGGCAUUCCUACCUUCCACUGAGAGUGAAGCUGAUGUUGUGGCAACACCAUAGUCAUUCUUGGCUUCACAGGUAUAGACUGCCGCAUCCUCUGGGAAGGCUUCAAUUAGCAAAAGCGUGU